GAUGAACGCUAGCGGCAGGCUUAAUACAUGCAAGUCGUGGGGCAGCAGGGUUGUAGCAAUACAAUUGCUGGCGACCGGCAAACGGGUGCGUAACACGUACGCAACCUUCCCGUUACUGUGGCAUAGCCCAGGGAAACUUGGAUUAAUACCACAUAUUAUAUUGAUGAGGCAUCUCAUUGAUAUCAAAGCUUCGGCGGUAACGGAUGGGCGUGCGGUUGAUUAGGUAGUUGGCGGGGUAACGGCCCACCAAGCCUACGAUCAAUAGCUGAUGUGAGAGCAUGAUCAGCCACACGGGCACUGAGACACGGGCCCGACUCCUACGGGAGGCAGCAGUAAGGAAUAUUGGGCAAUGGACGAAAGUCUGACCCAGCCAUGCCGCGUGAAGGAUUAAGGUCCUCUGGAUUGUAAACUUCUUUUCUCUGGGGCGAAAACCAGCUAUUCUUAGCUAUUUGACAGUACCAGAGGAAUAAGCACCGGCUAACUCCGUGCCAGCCGCCGCAGUAA
rnacentral:rRNA from 1 species